UACGUAGGGUGCGAGCGUUAAUCGGAUUUAUUGGGCGUAAAGCGUGCGCAGGCGGCCCGUUAAGACAGGUGUGAAAUCCCUGGGCUCAACCUAGGAAUUGCGCUUGUGACUGGCGGGCUUGAGUUCGGUAGAGGGGGGUGGAAUUCCUGGUGUAGCAGUGAAAUGCGUAGAGAUCAGGAGGAACACCGAUGGCGAAGGCAGCCCCCUGGGCCUGUACUGACGCUCAUGCACGAAAGCGUGGGGAGCAAACAGG
rnacentral:rRNA from 1 species